GGGGGGUAAGAUGUACGCAGUCCAUACCUCUACCUCUGAUGAAGCAGAAAGGCUGUUUCCGAUAGACCCCCGGCUCAAGGCACGAGAUACCACACAAACACAUAGUAAAGCACAGAAGCAGAUUACAUAACAUAAAUACGGCACCCAUAAGUAAUAUAAAACAGAGGAAAGCAGAGGAAAACACACAGAUUCGUAAUAAAACAUGGAACACGGAACACGGAAUCAUAACAGGAAUAAAA
rnacentral:lncRNA from 1 species